CAAACGACUCUCGGCAACGGAUAUCUCGGCUCACGCAUCGAUGAAGAACGUAGCAAAAUGCGAUACUUGGUGUGAAUUGCAGAAUCCCGUGAACCAUCGAGUUUUUGAACGCAAGUUGCGCCCGAAGCCACUUGGUUGAGGGCACGUCUGCCUGGGCGUCACGC
rnacentral:rRNA from 1 species